UUUUAUCCGCCCCAUAGAGCUGCUUUCUCUCCAGGCGAUUCAAAAGGAGAUCUAGGGUUUCUCUUGGCGAAGCAAGAUCUGGCUUUCUCAAUGACACCAGAUCAAUGAAUCUCUUUCUAUACGACACCAAAUUGACUGAGUUUGAAGGUGGUGAAGGGUUCGAAUUCGAUUUUAGGGUUUUUAAGAUGCACAUCGCCAGAUCUAGGGUUACGAAAUCUUUUUUUCACCUCCUUUCUCUUCACCUCAUACCAUCACAGUGUGACAAUGAAUUAGGGUUUUCACUUUGGGGGAAACUUUGCAACAUUUUGAGAUUCGGCUGAUUUUCUCUCAUCAACACCCGGAAGAAGUAUACUGCAAUCCUUGAGUCAAUGGUUCUUGCCUGACGUUAUAGGAAGGUGGAUACCACUCUAUCAAAUGGUACAUGUGCUCGAGCAGCUAUUUCUAGCGGCCUUUUAAAAGGUAA